rnacentral:rRNA from 1 species
GAUGAACGCUAGCUACAGGCUUAACACAUGCAAGUCGCGGGGCAGCAUUCACUUAGCUUGCUAAGUGAGAUGGCGACCGGCGCACGGGUGAGUAACGCGUAUCCAACCUGCCCUUGUCCACGGGAUAACCCGGUGAAAACCGGCCUAAUACCGUAUGAGGUCACAAGCGGACAUCCAACUGUGACGAAAGGUUUUGCGGACAAGGAUGGGGAUGCGUCCGAUUAGCUUGACGGCGGGGUAACGGCCCACCGUGGCUACGAUCGGUAGGGGUUCUGAGAGGAAGGUCCCCCACAUUGGAACUGAGACACGGUCCAAAACUCCUACGGGAGGCAGCAGUGAGGAAUAUUGGUCAAUGGACGGGAGUCUGAACCAGCCAAGUAGCGUGCAGGAUGACGGCCCUAUGGGUUGUAAACUGCUUUUAUAAGGGAAUAAAGUGAGUCUCGUGAGACUUUUUGCAUGUACCUUAUGAAUAAGGACCGGCUAAUUCCGUG